rnacentral:rRNA from 1 species
AACUCCUUUUAUAUAAGAAGAUAAUGACGGUAUUAUAUGAAUAAGCACCGGCUAACUCCGUGCCAGCAGCCGCGGUAAUACGGAGGGUGCAAGCGUUACUCGGAAUCACUGGGCGUAAAGAGCGUGUAGGCGGAUUGAUAAGUUUGAAGUGAAAUCCUAUAGCUUAACUAUAGAACUGCUUUGAAAACUGUUAAUCUAGAAUGUGGGAGAGGUAGAUGGAAUUUCUGGUGUAGGGGUAAAAUCCGUAGAGAUCAGAAGGAAUACCGAUUGCGAAGGCGAUCUACUGGAACAAUAUUGACGCUGAGACGCGAAAAGCGUGGGGAGCAAAACAGGAUUAGAUACCCUGGUAGUCCACGCCCUAAAACGAUGUACACUAGUUGUUGUGAGGCUCGACCUUGCAGUAAUGCAGUUAACACAUUAAGUGUACCGCCUGGGGAGUACGGUCGCAAGAUUAAAAACUCAAAGGAAUAGAC